rnacentral:tmRNA from 1 species
GGGGGCGAAUUGGGUUCGACUUGACGUGAUUUAGCAAAAAGGAGCAUGCCAAGGUUGGUCGGUUGGCCUUGUAAAAAGCCGACUACAAUGAUAAGUGCGGACAUACUUCGCACAAGAGUCAUGGAGACAGUUCCUGUUUCGACAGGGAUUGCUUCCAUGAUGCCGCUAGCCGCCUAAGUUGCGGCUACCGUCAGCCGAGCUUGCCUAUGGGUUCGGGCCUGGCGUAGGUAAUAGGCUGGCCCAGCAUUUUUAGCUUUUUGGGUGCUGGGCGAGAUUUUAAAAAGAUAGUUCCAGAAAGAUUGUUCCUGCACAAGCUUUUCGGGAUGAAUUUAAAAUACAGGAUAAGCAUGUAGCGCCUUUUGUUAGACACUCAUGGACAGGGGUCCGACUCCCCUCGCCUCCACCA